GACGAACGCUGGCGGCGUGCUUAACACAUGCAAGUCGAACGGAAGGGCCCUGCUUGCAGGGUACUCGAGUGGCGAACGGGUGAGUAACACGUGGGUGAUCUGCCCUGCACUUCGGGAUAAGCUUGGGAAACUGGGUCUAAUACCGGAUAGGAGCCAUCUUUAGUGUGGUGGUUGGAAAGUUUUUUCGGUGUAGGAUGAGCUCGCGGCCUAUCAGCUUGUUGGUGGGGUAAUGGCCUACCAAGGCGGCGACGGGUAGCCGGCCUGAGAGGGUGUACGGCCACAUUGGGACUGAGAUACGGCCCAGACUCCUACGGGAGGCAGCAGUGGGGAAUAUUGCACAAUGGGCGCAAGCCUGAUGCAGCGACGCCGCGUGGGGGAUGAAGGCCUUCGGGUUGUAAACUCCUUUCGCUAGGGACGAAGCUUUUUUGUGACGGUACCUAGAUAAGAAGCACCGGCUAACUACGUG
rnacentral:rRNA from 1 species